AGGAUCCCAGAGUCGCCUCUUCACUGUUAACGUUGAGAUGGGUGUUUUGCAUGUACUAUUUAAUGAAGCUGCCAGUUGAGGACUUGUGAGGCCUCUGUUUCUCAAACUAGAUACUCUAAUGUAUUUGUCCUCUUGCUCAUUUGUGCUACCCACUCUUUCUAUUCUGGUUAGAGCCCGUUUGUGCUGUUCUGUGAAGGCAGUAGUACACAGAGUUGUACAAGAUCUUCAGUUUCUUGGCAAUUUCUCGAAUGGAUAGCCUUCAUUUCUUAGAACAAGAAUAGACUGACGAGUUUCAGAAGAAAGUUGUAACGCUCCAGGUGUCGUGGGUGUGGAGUCAGACGCAGGAAACAGAGAGUGCGAUGCUGUGCUCUUUAAUGCACAAAACGCAACACAGGGUGCUCACUACCAAAAUACACGACCAGGGGCCUGUUGCACAAAAGUAGAAUUAAGACAUCCGGGAUAAAUGACUCAGCUGAGCUCAAUGAAGCCAAAACAUGUGCGUCCAGGCUUAAUUGGUUGCACAAAGACCAAGCCAGGAUGAGCAGACACGGAUUCAUUAAGCCAGGUGAAACCAAUCCUGGAUAGGUGCGCGCUCACGGCUCACUCAAAUAGACCCCGCCACAGAUCACAGAUUAACUGAUUUACCAUGGCAACUAGAGCCGCGUACUUUUCCCCGUCGGAAGCACAAAUUCUCAUGGAGGCAUACGAGGAGGUAAAAGAUAUAAUUAAGAAGAAAGGCAACACCGCCACAGUGAUAAAGCAAAGAGAAAAAGCGUGGCAAAGUAUUGCAGACCGCCUGAAUGCGUAAGUAGUGCACAAUUACACACUCACCGCUCCGCUGAAACAUCACAAUUCAAAUAUUUAAUUCACAUCUCCAAAAAUGCAGUUGUACUGUAAUUAUGAAACGGUUAAAUUUUUAAUUGAAAUGCACUGCAGAUAUGAGUGAAAUUGUGUAAAGUAACUCCAUCACACUGUAUAAAGCUAUGAUAAAUUUUUUGAUAUUUUUACUGAAAACAAGACAAAAAUACCAAGUAAUUUUUUGCAGUGUGACUCCAUUAAGUGUGUGUGUGUGUGUAGAUUAAACAUGAACGGGCCAAAACGGACAUGGCAGCAGGUCAAAAUCAAAUACAAGAACAUUCUGCAGAAUGCAGUGAAAAAGAAUACCCACAGACAAGGCACGGGUGGUGGGUCACCAAAGGCUGACCUUACCCCAGCAGAGGACAUGCCUUGGAGCUAAAUAAAGGCAGGCCCGUCUUAGAGGGGAUCCCUGGGGGGAAAGAGACGCGCAUAGGUUCCUCCCAAGAUGCCACCCGCUUCAUUCAAGUGUCUGGCAGCACUGUGUUCCUGUUAGAGCCACCAGCACAAGCACCAGACGAUGCUGAUCCAGGUGAAGGCCCCAGUGCAGCAGCAACAGCACAUGAUGGAGACGAUGAUGAGGAGGAGACC